GCAACAAAAUGUUUAUACAAUAAUAAUAAGCUCCUUGUUUGUUACGAUUGUCGUAGUUCUGCCAAUCGAUUUAACGAUCGAGGUACUUCAUCCAUGCAUGAUCCAGGGCCUAUAGUAUUACGUCACUUAAUGAUACUUUGUUACUGAACAUGGCGAAAGCGAGAAUGAGGAGUAGUACUAGUAAUGUUCUGACGUUUGAAAUUUUCAGGUGGAAUUGGACAUUGUAUGCAAAGUAAGCUUGAAAGUAAGUUCUGGCAGCCACUUAUUCAUCUGAAUUACACAAUUUUUCCAACAUGUCUGGGCCAACAAGACAAAGGUCUUUGAAAGAAAGGCUUCAUGGCAUUGGCUUAUCAUGGCAGAGCAGAAAAUCUGAGAGCUAUAGCAGUAAGGAACCACAGCCGUAUGUUCUUCCUCAAAA